AUGAAAUCGAGGAGGAACAGCACUAAGGAAGGAUUGAGAAAAACAACGCUGGCCAUGAUCCGCAGAGUGGCCUUCCUGCAGAGGAAAAACUCCACAGGUGAGGAUGAAGACACAGGAUACUUGGACGUGUCCAUUUGUGAGCUGAAGCACCCUCCAGCUGUACUGUGCCCUAUGCCGGAGGGGCUCAGCGGCCAGCAGGUCAUCCGACGCCUCAUUCUCAGCUCUAUUGUUCAAAGUGAGAGCAGCUACCUGGACUCCUUGAAGAGGAUCCUGCAGGAAUACCAAAAGCCGCUACUGGAGAGCCACACUUCCAUCCUAAACCCGGAGAAGGUGCAUCAGAUCUUCUUCCGUCUGAGGGAGAUCCAUCAGUGCCACUCCAUGUUCCAGAUCGCCCUGGCAUCGCGCGUGGCGGACUGGGAUCAGAGUGAGAUGAUUGGAGACCUGUUUGUGGCCUCGUUUUCAAAGUCCAUGGUGCAGAGCGUGUACAGAGACUACAUCAACAAUUUCACCAAAGCCAUGGCGCUCAUCAAGAAGGCCUGCGUGUCCAGACCUGCCUUCCUGGACUUCCUGAAGAGGAAACAGGCGUCAUCGGCAGACCGGAUCACGCUGUACGGGCUGAUGGUCAAGCCCAUCCAGCGUUUCCCUCAGUUCAUUCUGCUGCUACAGGACAUGUUGAAGAACACUCCGCUGGCCCAUAAGGACAGACUUCCUCUGCAGCUGGCUCUCACCGAGCUUGAGAUCCUGGCAGAAAAGCUCAACGAAGAGAGGCGUUUGGCUGACCAAGAAGCAGAAAUCCAGCAGCUGGCCCAUAGCAUAGGAGACCGCAACCUCAACAAGCUGCUAAACUCGGAGCAGAGGCAGCUGAUCCACUCUGAGCUGCUGACUGAGACUGUCUAUGGGGACAAAGGUCAAGUCCUUAAGUCUAAGAAGCGAAAGGUGUUUCUCUUCAGUGACUCGUUGAUUUGUGCCAACAUCAACUGGAAGGGUCCUCCUGAAAUCAGCAGCCUGGUUCCCCUGGGAGCCAAAUGCUCGGUGAAGUGGUGUGCCCCUGUGGCACAGAUCCAAGUGGAGGAGGUGGGGCAGGAUGGGGUUGUGAUUAGUAGGCGGCAUAGCUCUGCCUCCAGUACUACAGGGAAGUUGUUCCUGGGGCCCCCCAGGUUAUUCCAGGAACUGGAGGAGCUACAGCAUGACCUGGCUGUGGUGGAGGAGGUGUCUCUGCUGGUGGGCACGUUACAUGGACUCUACCAGAACCUGAACAGCACAGUGUCUCAGGACUGGUGCUGCGCUCUGCAGAGGCUCAUCCGUCUGAAGGAAGAGCAGAUCCAGGACGCCAACAAGUGCUGCCUGCGUCUGUCCAUUCCAAGCCGUCCAGACAGGUCUGGACGCCCUGUGAGCAUUAUGGUGGUCUUCAACACCCUCAGCCCCCACAGCAAAAUCUUCUGGGUGAACCGCAUCUACCUUGCUAAGCUGGAAAACUCUCCUGGAUGGGAAUGUUAUGAAGAUGACUGCAAGACCCAAACCCUGUUUGGGUCUCCACUGCUGACCUGCUCUUUGCCGGUUCUGUCCUCCAGGACACUCUCUCUGACGUACAUAACAUCUUUAGGUUUUCUUUGUAAAUUAAUGGAAUAA
rnacentral:lncRNA from 1 species